rnacentral:rRNA from 1 species
CAGUAGCCACGGGAAUACAGAGGGUGCGAGCGUUAAUCGGAUUUACUGGGCGUAAAGCGUGCGUAGGCGGCUUCUUAAGUCGGAUGUGAAAUCCCUGAGCUUAACUUAGGAAUUGCAUUCGUUACUGGGAAGCUAGAGUAUGGGAGAGGAUGGUAGAAUUCCAGGUGUAGCGGUGAAAUGCGUAGAGAUCUGGAGGAAUACCGAUGGCGAAGGCAGCCAUCUGGCCUAAUACUGACGCUGAGGUACGAAAGCAUGGGGAGCAAACAGGAUUAGAUACCCGUGUAGUCCCUGUCUCUUAUAC